AGGACGAACGCUGGCGGCGUGCUUAACACAUGCAAGUCAAGGGGGCCCAGCAAUGGGCAACCGGCGAACGGGUGCGUAACACGUGAGCAACCUACCGAAAUGUGGGGGAUAGCCGGCCUAACGGCCGAGUAAUACCGCAUACGCUCUCGAUGAGGCAUUUCAUUGAGAGGAAACCUACGGGACAUUUCGAGGGGCUCGCGGCCUAGUCAGCUAGUUGGCGAGGUAACGGCUCACCAAGGCGACGACGGGUAGCUGGUCUGAGAGGAUGGCCAGCCACGAUUGGGACUGAGAGUACGGCCCAGACGUCCUACGGGAGCAGCGAGUGGGAAUC
rnacentral:rRNA from 1 species